ensembl:rRNA 5S_rRNA 5S ribosomal RNA
GCUUACGGCCAUACCACCUUAGGCACGCCCGAUCUCGUCUGAUCUCGGAAGCUAAGCAGGGUCGGGCCUGGUUAGUACUUGGAUGGGUGACCGCCUGGGAAUACCUGGUGCUGUAAGCA